AUCAUGCCUCACGCCCGUGAGGUAGAGUAGGAGGAAUGGGGGCCUCCUGCUCACUGUUUAAAGCGGCC
rnacentral:sRNA from 19 species